CAUUCUCAUGCUGGCUAACGUUCUUCUGUGAAUCUGGAAAACUGGAAUAAUAAUGGAGCAUGCACUUGCGUUUAGUUUAUUAUUUUUGCAGGGCACACACUGCCUGUGUGACCGGGAUCCACAGUGCUGAGUGAGGUGUGGGCAGGUUGCUUAAAUUGAGGAAUCUGAUAGCACACCAGAUUCAUAACCGCAAUCCACCCAUCCGUGGUUUCCCUCCAGCCUCUGUCUAUUUCAGGUCAAUUUGGAAAAGUUUUCAGGCAACUACUCUAAAUCUACCCCCCUUCUCCAUUUUGUUAUUUGAUUAGUGUUUACCUAAAUACCUUUAUGAUAUAAGAUUUGCAACUCUCUAAAAAAGCAUCCCCUCCGAAAAAAAAAUCCCCACCAAUUUAGGUUAAAAACAAAGUAAAGGCAGCAAAAGUGUCUUUAAGUUUUGCAAUAAUCCUUCCAGUACUUUUGCAUCCCAAAAGGCUCCAGAUGUGACCAGCCACUGCAAAAUGCAUGUAACCAACGUGGGAAAGGAUCAAGUGUGAACACCAACCAAGGAGGGGCCGGCACCCCACAGGGGCUGCUCCACUUCCGAUCCAGCUCUCUGCUGUGGCCUGGGGAAGCAGUGGAGGAUGGCCCAAGUGCUUGGGCCCCUGCACCCACGUGGGAGACCUGGAAGAAGCUCCUGGUUUCAGAUGGGUGCAGCUCCGGCCGUUGCAGCCAAGUGGGGAGUGAACCAGCAGAUGGAAGACCUCUCCCUCCCUCUCUCUCUCUCUCUCUCUCUCUCUCUAACUCUGCCUCUCAAAUAACUAACUAAAUAAAUGCAUCAACCAAGUAACAGAAGAACUCUUUGCGCUGACACGAGUCCGCACUGGUGCUGACGGACUGGCACCCUUCAGCUGUAGUGACAACACUGACACAAAUCCUUCAGGACCAGUGGAAAGCGGUUCACAUGGACACCACUGGCCGGCAGCAUUAUCUUCACACACAAACUGUGGCACCUGUUUGCCCACUCUCUGGAAAUUCAUGCUGUAAUAAGACUCCAGCUACUUGGACGCAAAACAUUUUCAGUAUGACAAGGAAAAACUAAUUAGUUCUUAGCAAAUACGAAUGAGAUCUCCCAAACAAAGAAGCAGUGUGAGUUGGAACAUGUAUACCUCUACUUGAUAAGA
rnacentral:lncRNA from 1 species